CUCGUAUUUGUUGGAGCAGGAUAGCUGGGCCCUGGUGGUCCCAUAUUGCCCUGGUUCUUGUUAAUUGUAUUCUAAUGUUGUCCUUUAGGCAUCUAGUUUUCUCUGAUAUUGGCUGGGUGAUCCUGAUGGCAGCAGAACAUCUUGAGAAGAUACCAAUCUUCCAUCCUUUGCUGUCAACAUCUGUAAGGCUGAGGCACACCCAAGAUGUCCAGGACAACAUCCAAGAUGUCCAGGACAACAUCCAAGAUGUCAGGACCCUUUCCAGCUUCAGGAUGCUGAAAUGCUACUCUUGGAUAAAGCCAUGCUUACCAAAACAACAACAACAGAACCAAAAACAUGGAUUAUUUUGACUCAGAAAUUGCACUUCUACAUUUAGAGAUUGAUCUUUAUGUCCUCCAGUAACCAAGGUUGC
rnacentral:lncRNA from 1 species